AUGCAGAGAGCUGAUAAGGACCCUCUUCCGAUUUGGGCGCCCGGCCUGUCCCCGGCUGCCCUCUCCCUCCUCCUCGGCCGCCGCGUUCUCGCAGCCGCCGGCUUCACGGUCCGGCUGCGGAGGGACAUUCGACCUUCGGGUCCCAGCAGAGUAGCAACCUCAGGCAAGCACACAUGCUCUGCCGCCGCCCAUUCAGUCUGCGACUACGCGGCAACACGUCCCGCGCGCCCCGCCCCCUUUCAUCCGUGGUCACGUGGCUCAGGGCACCCGCGCUUCCGCCCUCGAACAGUUAGCGGAGCAGCUAACCUGCGCAGGCGCGUGGCGCUCUGGCUGAGGCGAGCCGAGUCCUUCUUGCCGUACCACCUGAGUUAGCUAAACCCGGCUAUCCCAAUCUGGGACCCCUUUCUUGUUGGACAUUUCCUGUGUGUUGUUUUGAUCGACUUGUUAGCUACUGUUAGUUCUGAGCAAAUUUAGCCCUUAUGAGACAGGGGAAAGCAUUACUUCUUGAAAGCAUAUUUUAAAACAUUUUACUUAUAAAAUCUAAACAUACGCAAGAGUAGACUGUACGAUGAACCUACGUAUAUGCUCAUCGUAGGCACUAUUCAGAUAGACUGUACGAUGAACCUACGUAUAUGCUCAGAUUCAGAUUUUUUUUUUUAAGUUUGGCUUUUCAUUGUUCUAGAAAAAUGUCCAUUUUAUUUAGACUUUCUAAUGUAUUUCGUCAGAACUGUGCAUAUCUUUUACCAUAUUUUUAAUUUAUUUCAUCUGUUGUUACAUCACUUUAUUUAUUCUAAACAUGCAUUUGAGUUUUCUUUGUCCUUUGACUAGUCUUGUGGGUAGCUAUUUUACUGGCCUUUUCGAAAAUUCUGAUUUUGCUUCCUAACUUUUUUCAUUCUUUCUCUCCUGAUUUAUUCAAUAGAAAGUUUAAUUCAUUUAUUUUUAUUUAAAAAUAAAAAGAUGUAAAACUGUGAGUUUCCUCUUUUAGAAUACCUUUGCACACAGUCUUCAGGACAAUGUAAUAUUCUCAUUUUCCUUAAUUCUUUAGUUUGUUUGACAGUUUUCAUUUCCUCUUUGAAUUGAGAAUUAUUCAAAUAUCGAGCACCUGUUUUGUCCCAGGCACUGUAUUUGGUACUUGGGAGAUACUGGUAAGUAAAGCCAGACAAAACCCCUUCUCAUAGAUGUCAGUGACAGAAGACAUACAAUUAUAAACCACAACAAAUGAAACUGUCUGAAGAAGUACAAAAUAUGAUUCUAUGAAUGCAUACUAAGAGAGCCUGAUCUAACUUGGGGAGGAAGUCAUCCCCCAAGGAAAUGAUUCAAAUUAAGAUGAGAAGUUAAUUAGGGAAAGUCUGAAAUCUGGCUUUCCUAACAGGGUCUUCCUGAUUACACUUUUCUUCCUGUCAUGUCACCACACUCUACCAAUUCUUACAAGAAUUGUGUGCCUUUUCAAUUGUAGGUUCACACUGCCAUCCUCUCUUCCAGUUUCGAUCUGCAGAACUCAGCAGUGAUUUACUAUUUACCUCAUUUGCUCCCCAGUUAAGAACCUAGCCUUGGAUAACCUGUCUUCUUUUAGUCUACUCAAUUCACUGUUUCCUUGUGAUAACAGAUUUAGACUGAUAAUCUUAACAUGAUUGAUAAAUUUUAUUUUUAUCACUCCUCUAUUUCUCUUAGAAUAUUUGAAGUUAAAAUAUGAACUCUGAAAUUUGGGUUAAAAUAUAAAAAUAUUUAAUAGAUUACAACUGCCUUCAUUCAAGGCAUCCAAGACCCUAACCUCAAUUUCUGACAUUCACCCAGUUAGUUGCCCAUUGUUUCAGAACUUUUGCACAUCUCCAGGCUGAUGUAGUUGGGUAAGUGGUUUUCUCUACCUUCUUCACCAAAGCAUAGGAGCCCUAAUCCUUACUAGUCCUGAAACGUGAUUAUUAUCCUUAGUCUCAUUGACAGAUGUUGGAAUAGAGGUAAUGAAUGUUAUCUUGCAGCUAGAAUAGAUGAGUUCUGUUCAGUUCAGUCCCUCAGUCGUGUCUGACCCUUUGCAACUCCAUGAAUCGCAGCACGCCAGGCCUCCCUGUCCAUCACCAAUUCCCGAGGUUCACCCAAACUCAUGUCCAUCGAGUCGGUGAUGCCAUCCAGCCGUCUCAUCCUCUGUCAUCCCCUUCUCCUCCUGCCUGCAAUCCCUCCCAGCAUCAGAGUCUUUU
ensembl:lincRNA